CUGUGCAAAGGUAGCAUAAUCAUUAGUUUUUUAAUUGAAGGCUUGUAUGAAUGGUCUGACAAAGUAAAAGCUGUCUUUAAUUUUAUUUUUGAAAUUAACUUUUAAGUGAAAAGGCUUAAAUAAAUUUAAGGGACGAUAAGACCCUAUAAAUCUUUAUAUUAAUUUGUUAUUUUAAAAAAUUAAUAGAUUUUGUUUUAAAAAAAUAAAUAAACAAAUAAUAUUUUAUUGGGGUGAUGAGAAUAUAUAAAAAACUGUUCUUAAAAUAAACAAAGUUAUUUGUUAAGAAAAAAAUAAUAGAUCCUUUAUUAAGAUAAAAAGUUUAAGUUACUUUAGGGAUAACAGCGUUAUUUUUUUUUGAGAGUUCCUAUCGAAAAAAAAGUUUGCGACCUCGAUGUUGAAUUAAAAUUUCUCUGCGGUGUAGAAGUUGUAGAAGAAAGUCUGUUCGACUUUUGAAAUUUU
rnacentral:rRNA from 1 species